UGCGUAUACACUACCCUCCCCAGACCCCACUAGUGGGAUUUCAUUGGGUCGUUGUUGUUGUUGUUGUUGUUGCAUGAUUACCUCCUGAAACCGCAUGAAAGAUCUCCACUUUCUUCUUUCUUUUUUUCUUCUUGAUGAUGGCAAGGAUCUUUAGUACUGAAGAAAGAAACAAUUCCUUAAGAGCAGAACUAAGAGAAUGUAUAGCUUUUCUCUACCCAUCUCAUUUUUGUUUUUUACCAAGAAAUGAUUUUGAGCUCAAUCAGAUUCUCACAAAACUUUUUUCCAACAUAGACAGUCUGAGGUUAUAAAUUACUCGAAGAGUACAUGAAUCAUUGGAAGAGCUUCUUGCAUUAGUGUUCAAGAUAUUAGUGUUGUGAAGAGCGUGAAGCGAGGAAAAGCGACAAUCUCCAUUUCACGAGAAGCGAGAAGCGAAGCGCUCGCUUUUUUUAAGUCAAGCGGAAUUUAAAAAAAAAAAUUAAAAUAAAUACUGCAUAGACAACACAUGUAAUUGUAAGAAAAUGUUCAAUACUUCAAUUAAAAAACUAAAGAGUAGCACAAUUAAAGCACAAAAUGAGCAUCCUAUUCUUCUACAAGAUUGUCAAAUUCUUGUAUUCCACUAUCAUUAUUAUAUUGCUCGUCAUCUUCUUUAACUUCUUCUUCAUCAACUAGGGACGAAGUAGCAGAAAUUGGGCAGAAACUGGAAAAAUUGGGCAAAAAUUUUCUGAAAAAAUUUCGCCCACAUUUCGCCGCUUUUUGGACGUUUAGAGAGAACGAAAAAGAAGAAGAAGAAGAAGACUGAAAAUCAGAAGUGCAGAAGCAGAACAUAUCUGUACUGUUGAAGAAGAAGAACAACAACCCUAGUUGAUGCUUUGAGAUUAUUUCAGAAAUCAGAAGUUGAUGAAGAAGAAAAGAAGAAGUCGCUGCUGUUGUCAAAGAAAAACCCUAGUCUCACUGCUGUUGAAGAAGUCCAGACAAUGUUUAUGGCUUAGAAACCUCGUUUUCUAAUAAAAUUGGGCUUGGGUUAAUUUUAAACAUAGAAGCGGACGCUUCUAACACUUCUUCUCGCUUCACCGCUUCUCGCUUUUUACAGAGAAGCGGUCGCUUUUUCGUACCAGAGUCGCUUCUAUUACCUGAAGCGCUGCCCUUCACGCCUCGCUUCGCUUUUUUAAUCACUACAAGAUACUGAAUGUGCUUUGUUGUUAUUCACAAUAUUUUGGAAAGCGUUAAGCGCAAAAAAGCGACGAAGCCUCGCUUCACAGAAGCGAAGCGCGCGCUUUUUUGUUGUGAAGCGCAAUUUAACACAUAAAUAAAAAAAAUAGGCAUAGAUAAAUGGCUAAGAACUCAUUAAAAAUAACAUAUUAAGCAAAUAAUAGAUUCAAUUCUUAAAUUUACUACAAUCAACAACCAAAAAAAAAAAAACAAUUAAUUCACGGAAGAAAACAAAAAAACAGAGCAUAAAGAGCACUUUUAAUAACAGAAAACAGAGCAUAACAGAAGAAAAAGAAGUGGUAUCAUGAUAACAAAAGAAACGUUUAAUAACAGAAGAAAAAGAAGUCGUUUAGGGCAAAAAAUGAGUGCUUAAAAAGUGAAAAAAAUUGAAAGAAGAACAGAAGAGAAGAAGAAUAACAGAAGAAGACAGAAAACAGAGCAUGAAGAAGAAGAACUGAAGAAGAAGAACAGAAGAAGAAGAAACUUACCGAGAUCCGGAGAUGAAGUCGUCGCUGGAGUUCGCUGGGCCGGAGAAGAAGACCUUCGUAUGUUUUGGUAACAGAUGCCUUCUGCUCGUAUGUUUAUUUGCCCAAAAUUUUUAAAAAAAAACCCUAGCUGAUGCCUUCUGCUCGCUUAAGCGAGCUUUUUCUCGCUUUUUCUAACUCGUCGCUUCUCGCUUAAGCGAGAAAAGCGCUCGCUUUUCUAAUGUGAGUCGCCUUUUUUCCCGAAAAGCGCUACCACUGCGCCUCGCCUCGCUUCAUCGCUUAAAGCGAGAAGCGAGCGCUUUUAAUAACACUAGUUAUUCAACUGCAUAUCUUUUGCUAAAGCUGAACUUCAUUAAGGUGUUAGUAUUUGUAGAAUCCGUGGCUACCACUCCUCUUGGCUUUCUAUUUACUCUAGUUCAUUAUGCAUUCCCUAGAGUCCAGUUGAGUCAAGAAUUUGAAAAAAAAAAGGUGAAUUACAUCAUGUUUUUAUGGAACAUGAUGAAUGCCUUCAUGUCUAUAAAGAUACAAGCUGCAUUACCUGUUGAAUUCUGGACAUCAUAGUAGUGUUAUCAAAGGUGAAAAGCGCAAAAAAGUUCUAAGGUUUGUUGGGGCUUUAAGCGCAAAGCUCAAAUAAAGCACGAGCUUUAACGAAGAAAGGCACAAAUGAAGAAAAACUACAAAUAUGUGUGUGUAGUCAAAGACUAAUAUCUAUAAGCAUGAAUACCAUAUAUAUGGACAAAGAAAUUGAAGAAAAUUUACGAUAAAGUAAACUAUUAAUUGUUUAGUGUCGCUUCUUCAGGAUUACGCUCAUUGGCAAGGAAAAGUAUGCCUUAGAGCUUUGAUGACAACACUAAAGCACCUGUUAAGCGAGACGAAGUGCUCAACACGUUUUUGAGCCUUGCUUCAGGGCUUAAGUGCGCUAUAAGCACGCAUUUGAUAACACUGCAUCGUAGCAGCCAUCUCUUCUUAAAUCUGUUUGUCCGCUUCUACUCGUGUUCUUGGAGCCUUUUGUCCAUUUCUGCACAGAUACUGCAGAGAAAAUACUGCCUAAAGUUUUUAAGUUUAACUACAGAACAAAUACAAAGGAAACACUGAAAUUCCAGCUUAACUAGAAACAAGGAUCAAAAGAAGGGACUAGGUCUCCACAAAUGCCUAUGCAACUAGAUAUGUCGCCACAAAAAGCCCUUGAUUUUGUGGCAACUUCGUGGGUCGUAACUGAAAAUCUGUUUUCCUGUAGUGUAAUUAGGGUCCUUUGGUAAACUCUUUAGUAGGACGGGAGUUUUGUUUCACAUCAAAGUUAUGUUAUACCUAAAACAUUCAACUCCCUUGUAGUUGCAAGUUGCAACUUGUCUUUUCCAAUCGCAAGGUUUGCAUUUUCUCAUUCAAGUCUUCAAGAUGUUUGCUUUGUGCAGGUUGGAACGUCCAAAUUGUUUUAUAUACAGACAUAUGAUGAGUUGAAUUUGUUUGGGUCUGCCCUGCUUUGUUUUUCUUUGUUGUAAGUAUCAUUUUAUUUUUGGCAGGUGGUGAGCGACCUCCUGAUUCCAUUGUUGAUGUGAAAGCUACAGAGUGAGCUAGUCAUCUCUUUAAGCUAUUGUGGUGAGGGAACUCCUGAUUCCAUUGUUGAUGUGAAAGCUACGCAGUGAGCUAGUCAUCUCCUUAAGCUCUUGUCAGUCUUCUACUAUCUUAGUUAUUUAUGAGAAUGUAGUGUCAUUUUCUUGUAUUAUUACUAAGACAUGAAAAAAAGUGUUGUGAUUUAUCUUCUACUCUUGUAGUUAUUUUAUUACUAAGACGAGGAAAAAUGUGUUCUGAUGUUGUUAUGAUUAUGGUUAUGUUUGACGA